AUUAAUAUUUCGAUUUUUUCAAAAACUGCACUGAUGCGCCUUGUCUUCCAAGCCCCUCGUAUAAAACCGCAAGUCAUAUUUCGUCUUAAAUUUGAUUGGACAAUGGUCACACAAAAAAGGGUCGACUGCCAAUAUGCACGCAAGCACAUGCUUCUUUAAAUGCUCAUUCGCUUUGAAUUUGCCUCAGAAAACAAGACAUUGAAAAAGUAGAUCACCUACGUGAGCCGUGAAAAUGCAUCACGUGUAAUUUCCAUCUAUUCUUUGUUUGUUUUUUUUUCUUGCACACUACAAACGCUGAAAGGACCGAUUUUUGUAUUAAACAUACAAGAUAUGCUCUUUGACUGAAAACUUUGAUUUAUAUUUUUUACGCAAUAACUACAUCAAAAAGGUCAAUCAUCAAUGUGGAGAUCCUCACAGCCUCUGAAAUACUAUAUUUGAUUUUUACCCAAAACCUGUCAAUUAUCGGAGUGAACAUGUAUGACAUGAUGCCUCAAAACUUCCUUUCUUUUAUAUUUUCUUGAGCACUGAUCGCAUGAGUAGGGGCGAUUGUCGCUGUGGACAAACAUAUGUCUCUCAAGAGAAGCCUUCUGUUUAAAAUUUCGUGAGCAUUGACAGCAUGAAUAGGGCCGAUCAUCGCAGUGAACCUGAGUGACAUGUUGCUUUAAUGAACUCUUCGUUUUAAAGUUUCCUGAGCAUUGACCGCAUGAGUAGGGUCGAUCGUCGCUGUGGACAAUCAUGUGUCUCUCAAGAUUAUCCUUCCGUUUGAAUUUCGUGAGCAUUGACCGCAUGAGUGGGGUCCAUUAUCGCAGUGAACUUGAGUGACAUGUUCCUUUAAUGAACCCUUCGUUAUAAAUUUUGCUGAGCACUGAUUGCAUGAGUAGGGUCGAUCGAUGCUGAUGACACAUCCCACGUGCGACUUUAAAUCACCUUUGGAUUUAAAUUUCCUUGCGGAAUGACUACAUGAAGAAGGCCUAUCAUCGCAUUGAACCUGAUUGACAUGUUUCCUAAAUGAAUUCUUAGUUUCAAACUUUCCAGAGCAUUGACCGCAAGAGGAGGGUCGAUCGUCGCUAUGGACAAACAACACAUGUUUCUUGAGAUUAUCCUUCCGUUUAAAUUUUCUUGAGCACUGACCGCACGCGUAGGUUUGAUCGAUGCUUUGAAUGUGCACCACAUGUGACCAUAAUGGAUCCUUCGAUUUAAAUACCUCAACACAUUGAUCAGGCGAGGAAAUUUGGUUGCUCAUUGCCGUUUCCGGUGUGUGCCUAUCAGAUAUAGCUCUUGAUUUCAAUCCACCAAAAAAUUAUCAUUUGAGGAAGGUGGAUCUUUGUGCGGGGUUGAUACUCGGUUUGAAGCUCCACAAUGUCCGUUGAACACGAGCCUCUCGCGAAAGUUUGAUCACCGCUGUAACCAUGGUCAGAGGCAGUUUUUGAACUUAAAAAUUUCUUGCGGGAACU
rnacentral:lncRNA from 1 species